UCUUAUGGAUGAGCAAAAAAAGUGGUUUCUAAGGAUGGCAUCUACUCCUGGCGAAAAUGCUGUGAA
rnacentral:pre_miRNA from 1 species